rnacentral:pre_miRNA from 1 species
UCUUACGAAUGAGCAAAGAAAGUGGUUUCUUGAGAUAGAAUCUACUCCUGGUAAAGAUGCUCUGGA